rnacentral:rRNA from 1 species
AUACGGAGGAUCCGAGCGUUAUCCGGAUUUAUUGGGUUUAAAGGGAGCGUAGGUGGACAGUUAAGUCAGUUGUGAAAGUUUGCGGCUCCACCGUAAAAUUGCAGUUGAUACUGGCUGUCUUGAGUACAGUAGAGGUGGGCGGAAUUCGUGGUGUAGCGGUGAAAUGCUUAGAUAUCACGAAGAACUCCGAUUGCGAAGGCAGCUCACUGGACUGCAACUGACACUGAUGCUCGAAAGUGUGGGUAUCGAACAGGAUUAGAUACCCUGGUAGUCCACACAGUAAACGAUGAAUACUCGCUGUUUGCGAUAUACAGUAAGCGGCCAAGCGAAAGCAUUAAGUAUUCCAC